CCCUGCAAUAAAUUGCAGGGCUAUUAUAUCGGUCGUGCCUACAGCACU
rnacentral:sRNA from 1 species